CCCUGAUCCAGUCUGAGGCCAUGCCAGCGUCCUGGGACGGCGUAAGGUUAGCAUUGGAGCUGAGGAGUGUGAGAACCAGGGGAGGAUCUGUUGCAGACCCAGAUCAGGUACCUCAGCACUGCUAGCUUCCACAGUGCAUAAAUCAACAGGUUGUUCAACUGAAAAGCCCUGCACCAUGUCCACCAAAGAAAUAAACAGAGCGCAAGUGGUUCAGACCAUGAAGGUGCGACAUGCAUUAAAGGGAGACUGCAGCUGGAUCCGUAAAGAGACAGACCCAGAUAGAAAACAGGAGAAACCACGGCCCAAGAAGCUUUCAAAAUCUGCAGUACAAAAAGCUAUGGAGGAAUCAAUUAAUGCAGCAGUACCAAAAGAAGAAUCUGUAGUUGAGCCUGUUGCUAUGGCUGCAAGUGAACCUGUAGUGAAGCCUGUUGCUGUGUCUCCAGGUGAACUUGUAGUUAAGCCUGUUGCUGUGGCUGCAGGUGAACAUGUAGUUAAGCCUGUUGCUGUGGCUGCAGGUGAACCUAUAGUUAAGCCUGUUGCUUUGGCUGCAAGUGAACCUGUAGUGAAGCCUGUUGCUGUGUCUCCAGGUGAACUUGUAGUUAAGCCUGUUGCUGUGGCUGCAGGUGAACAUGUAGUUAAGCCUGUAGCUGUGGCUUCAGGUGAACCUGUAGUUAAGCCUGUUGCUGUGGCUGCAGGGGAACCUGUAGUUAAGCCUGUUGCUGUGGCUGCAAGUGAACCUGUAGUUAAACCUGUUGCUGUGGCUGCAAGUGAACCGGUCGUUAAGCCUGUUGCUGUGGCUGCAGGUACAUUUGUAGUUAAGCCUGUUGCUGCGGCUGCAGGUGAACCUGUAGUUAAGCCUGUAACUGUGGCUGCAGGUGAACCUGUAGUUAAGCCUGUUGUUUUGGCUGCAAGUGAACCUGUAGUUAAGCCUGUUGCUGUGGCUUCAGGUGAACCUGUAGUUAAGCCUGUUGCUGUGGCUUCAGGUGAACCUGUAGUUAAGCCUGUAGCUGUGGCUGCAGGUGAACCUGUAGUUAAGCAUGUUGCUGUGGCUGUAGGUGAACCUGUUGUUAAGCCUAUUGCUGUGGCUGUAGGUGAACCUGUAGUUAAGCCUGUAGCAGUGGCUGCAGGUGAACCUGUAGUUAAGCCUGUUGCUGUGGCUGAAGGUGAACCUGUAGUUAAGCCUGUUGCUGUGGCUGCAGUUGAACCUGUAGUUAAGCCUAUAGCUGGGGCUGCAGGUGAACCUGUUGUUAAGCCUGUUGCUUCAGUUGGGGCUUCUGUUCAACCUGUAGUUAAGCCUGCGAAUGGAGUUCAAACUGUAGUUAAGUCAGAGGCUGCAGUUGGAACUACAGUUCGACCCAUAGUUCAGCCUGGGGCUGUGGCUAAAGAUCAAGUUGCAGUUCAACCUGUGAUUCAACCUGUGGAGAAAACAAGUGUUGACAUUGUGAAGGAGGCAACAGUGGAAUCUGCAGGUGAAUUGCGUGCAGUUCCGCAGUCUGUUGAAGCUGUACAGAAAUCAUCAGCUGCUAUUGAACUUGAGGAGGCAUUAGAUGUGGAGCCUGUGAAGUCACCUGCUGAUAAGGAUGAUGUGAUGGCCCCAGCAACUCAGCCAACGCCUCAUCAGGGUCCAUGUCCCUCACUCGUUCAGCCACAGAAGGAUUCUGAGCAACACCAUCAUCAGAUAGUACAUGAACUUCGUCACACCAAGGAUGGCGAUGCCAUUUGUUCAUACUGUAACAAGUCAAUUGUUGAAAAUGUCAAGAUCACUGUCAGUGACCCACCAAUCUACAGUCACCUAGAUUGUUUUAAGUGUGGGUUGUGCAGCAAACCCUUAGGGGACAUGAUGACCGCAAUGUAUCAUCGUGGGAGAAGGAUACACUGUCAUUACUGUUUUACAAAAAAUUGGUAGGCCUUAGGACUUCCCAUCCUCGUCAGAAAGAGGGCCUGGCAAUAUCCUCUCUGGAACCAGGUCAACAUAACCAUAAUGACAGAUUACUGGAAGGUCUGAAGGUUUUGAAGGUUUUGUGAGGUGUUAUAUUUACAGUUACAGUAUAAUCCACUGUCUGAUAUUUUCUUGAUAUUGAAUGCAGUUCUUUGUGAAUGUAAUGUAGAAAACCUUAGGUAACAAAACAAUUGUGUUUUCAUCUUUUUGAAUUGUAGGGCAUGUACAGCCAUCUGUAAUGAUAAAAAUGUUGAAUUGAUCUAUGACAGGUUCCAUCAUUUAUAUCAACAUAUUUUAAAUAAAAUUCCCAAAUUGUGA